GGUAGUAGCUCAGUUGGUAGAGCAUCAGCUUCCCAAGCUGAGGGUCGCGGGUUCGAACCCCGUUUAC
rnacentral:tRNA from 1 species